GAUGAACGCUGGCGGCGUGCCUAAUACAUGCCGGUCGAGCGAACAGACGAGGAGCUUGCUCCUCUGACGUUAGCGGCGGACGGGUGAGUAACACGUGGAUAACCUACCUAUAAGACUGGGAUAACUUCGGGAAACCGGAGCUAAUACCGGAUAACAUGUUGAACCGCAUGGUUCAACAGUGAAAGACGGUCUUGCUGUCACUUAUAGAUGGAUCCGCGCCGCAUUAGCUAGUUGGUAAGGUAACGGCUUACCAAGGCAACGAUGCGUAGCCGACCUGAGAGGGUGAUCGGCCACACUGGAACUGAGACACGGUCCAGACUCCUACGGGAGGCAGCAGUAGGGAAUCUUCCGCAAUGGGCGAAAGCCUGACGGAGCAACGCCGCGUGAGUGAAGAAGGUCUUCGGAUCGUAAAACUCUGUUAUUAGGGAAGAACAAAUGUGUAAGUAACUAUGCACGUCUUGACGGUACCUAAUCAGAAAGCCACGGCUAACUACGUG
rnacentral:rRNA from 1 species